rnacentral:rRNA from 1 species
GAUGAACGCUAGCGGGAGGCCUAACACAUGCAAGCCGAGCGGUAUUGUUUCUUCGGAAAUGAGAGAGCGGCGCACGGGUGCGGAACACGUGUGCAACCUGCCUUUAUCCGGGGGAUAGCCUUUCGAAAGGAAGAUUAAUACUCCAUAACAUAUUGAUUGGCAUCAAUUAAUAUUGAAAGCUCCGGCGGAUAGAGAUGGGCACGCGCAAGAUUAGCUAGUUGGUGAGGUAACGGCUCACCAAGGCGAUGAUCUUUAGGGGGCCUGAGAGGGUGAUCCCCCACACUGGUACUGAGACACGGACCAGACUCCUACGGGAGGCAGCAGUGAGGAAUAUUGGUCAAUGGGUGCAAGCCUGAACCAGCCAUCCCGCGUGAAGGACGACUGCCCUAUGGGUUGUAAACUUCUUUUGUAUAGGGAUAAACCUACCCUCGUGAGGGUAGCUGAAGGUACUAUACGAAUAAGCACCGGCUAACUCCGUGCCAGCCGCCGCAGUAAUAC